AACGAACGCUGGCGGCAGGCUUAACACAUGCAAGUCGAGCGCCCCGCAAGGGGAGCGGCAGACGGGUGAGUAACGCGUGGGAAUCUACCCAUCACUACGGAACAACUCCGGGAAACUGGAGCUAAUACCGUAUACGUCCUUCGGGAGAAAGAUUUAUCGGUGAUGGAUGAGCCCGCGUUGGAUUAGCUAGUUGGUGGAGUAAUGGCCCACCAAGGCGACGAUCCAUAGCGGGUCUGAGAGGAUGAUCAGCCACACUGGGACGGAGACACGGCCCAGACUCCUACGGGAGGCAGCAGUGGGGAAUAUUGGACAAUGGGCGCAAGCCUGAUCCAGCCAUGCCGCGUGAGUGAUGAAGGCCCUAGGGUUGUAAAGCUCUUUCACCGGUGAAGAUAAUGACGGUAACCGGAGAAGAAGCCCCGGCUAACUUCGUGCCAGCCGCCGCCGUAA
rnacentral:rRNA from 1 species